AAAUAUUAAGUUUUUAAAUAUGGCUCACUCUACUUUCUUCUGCUCCUUAAUUUCAGUUUCUUAGUAAAGUGAAGCUCCAGAGAACAUUGCGUAGCUCAAUGUUGACCAAUCAGUUAAUGUCCUCAGUCCUGUAAUGUCCCCUCUGCGAAGCUACGAGGCUUGGGGGAAUACUAUUGAAAAGUAGAUCCAAUGUUUUGUGUCUGUGAGGAAGGCACUGUUUUACUUACUUUCCCUUCGUCAUGGAAGGGACAAAAGCCCAUCUUACAAAAGGAUAUUUUAGGACCCCAGAGAAACAAUUUUAAUUUUGAAUCUCAAUAAAAUAUUGCAUCAACUUAUUUUUCUUUUUUUUUUUUGAGGAAGAUUAGCCCUCAGCUAACUGCUGCCAAUCCUCCUCUUUUUGCUGAGGAAGACUGGCCCUGAGCUAACAUCCAUGCCCAUCUUCCUCUGUGGGAUGCCUGCCGCAGCAUGGCUUGACAAGUGGUGCCAGGUCCACACCCAGGAUCCGAACUGGUGAACCCCAGGCCGCCAAAACAGAAGGUGCACACUUAACUGCUGCGCCACCAGGCUGGCUCUGCAUCAGCUUUUCGUAUCAGCAGUUAACUCUUAGAGGGACUACUCCCUUUUAAAAAUGUUGGUAUGUUUCUAGCUUCUUUUAGCCUUGCAUCUCCAGUUUGGAAAUUCAUAUUAAACUUUAUUGGAACAGGACGUGAGUACAGUGUGUUGCUGAGAAGUUGGACUGUUCUUUAUAAUAGUCUUCUAAGGCAAGUCUGAUUACUUCACAUUCUCUAUAACAUUGCGUCUUGGAAUUUAGAGAGUUGAGCCAUCCCAGCCCCACCUUUGAGAGGAACCAAACCUGGGCACCAGACAAGAUGAUUGAAAAGACUUUCUGAUAUUUGGUUUGCCGGACGAGGCUUUCACACCUGCCUGGCCUGCUCUCCAAAUUCCCUGUUGACCCCAGCUCCACCCAGCCAGCUUGAACAGAGGCAAAGCGUGCUGAGAACUUUCCCCAAAGACAGACCAACAGGCUCUGCCAGAGAGUCUGUAUCUAGAGAAGCG
rnacentral:lncRNA from 1 species